rnacentral:rRNA from 1 species
GAUGAACGCUGGCGGCGUGCCUAAUACAUGCAAGUCGAGCGAACAGACGAGGAGCUUGCUCCUCUGACAUUAGCGGCGGACGGGUGAGUAACACGUGGAUAACCUACCUAUAAGACUGGGAUAACUUCGGGAAACCGGAGCUAAUACCGGAUAAUAUAUUGAACCGCAUGGUUCAAUAGUGAAAGACGGUUUUGCUGUCACUUAUAGAUGGAUCCGCGCCGCAUUAGCUAGUUGGUAAGGUAACGGCUUACCAAGGCAACGAUGCGUAGCCGACCUGAGAGGGGGAAUGGGCAACAGGGAAAUGAGACACGGUCCAGACUCCCAAGGGGGGGAAAAGUGGGGAAAUUUCCCCAAUGGGGGAAAGCCUUAAGGGGGAAACCCGGGGGGGGGGAUAAAGUUUUGGGGAUGGAAAAACCCUUUUUUUGGGAAAAAAAAAUUUUGAAGGUAACUUUCCCGGUUUGACGGGAACUAAUCAAAAAGGCACCGGUAAACACGGG